AAUAUUGGACAAUGGGCGCAAGCCUGAUGCAGCCAUGCCGCGAGAGUGAUGAAGGCCCUAGGGUUGCAAAGCUCUUUCACCGGUGAAGAUAAUGACGGUAAACGGGGAAGAAGCCCCGGCAAACUUCGUGCCUGCAGCCGCGGUAACACGAAGGGGGCUAGCGUUGUUCGGAAUUACUGGGCGUAAAGCGCACGUAGGCGGAUCGGUCAGUUAGGGGUGAAAUCCCGGGGCUCAACCCCGGAACUGCCUUUAAUACUGCCGGUCUAGAGUCCGAGAGAGGUGAGUGGAAUUCCGAGUGUAGAGGUGAAAUUCGUAGAUAUUCGGAGGAACACCAGUGGCGAAGGCGGCUCACUGGCUCGGUACUGACGCUGAGGUGCGAAAGCGAGGGGAGCAAAC
rnacentral:rRNA from 1 species